rnacentral:piRNA from 1 species
UCGCUGAGUGUGUCUGCAGAGAGAAAGGA